rnacentral:rRNA from 1 species
UACGGAGGGUGCAAGCGUUGUCCGGAAUUAUUGGGCGUAAAGAGCUCGUAGGCGGUUUGUCGCGUCGAAUGUGAAAACCCGGGGCUCAACCCCGGGCCUGCAUUCGAUACGGGCAGACUAGAGUUCGGUAGGGGAGUCUGGAAUUCCUGGUGUAGCGGUGAAAUGCGCAGAUAUCAGGAGGAACACCGGUGGCGAAGGCGCUGCUCUGGGCCGAAACUGACGCUGAGGAGCGAAAGCGUGGGUAGCAAACAGG